UAACGCCAAUUUCAUUAAAAUCCAAUUACAAUCCCUAAAUUAGAGAUUUUGUUCCAUAAAUUCUCUCCCAUUGCUCGCCGGUUACACAGGACAUUAUCAAAAACCAUUAAUUCAAUCCCUUUGAUUCAUAAUAAUCAAUUUCUUCGGUUACAGAAACCCUUGAAAUGCUCGACUACAUAAAUCUUCCCAUGUUUCUCCAUUUCAUCUUCCCAUGUUUCUCUGUUUCUUUCUAACUAUCAUCUUAGUCUGGAUUCUUGCAUUCGAACUUCCACAAAUCAAUUAGUCUGGAUUCUUGCAUUCGAACUUCACAAAUCAAUAUUUUGUUUGAGCCUCUUUUUCUAUUGUAUGGGUUCGAAUGCGUAGAUUUUUACAGUCACAGAUAAGCCAUGUCUGGUUCCAGCUCAUGUAGGGAAGCUUCAUACCAGAAUUGUUUAUGUCUAUUCAGACUUGGUAUCUCUUGAUUUCCCUGGAAAAAUCAUAUGGGUAUACAGUGGCCCAUAAACUUACAAGAUCUGUCCUAGGAAAGUAGCUGGCAAGGAAGGUCACCAGUGGUGCAAGAGAUGCGAAGCUCAAGUUCCCGGCACCGUACCGAGAUAUAAAUGGUAGAUGGAACAUGGUGUACGGUACAAGGCAGGUGUGAGGUGAUUGAUGAAAAACGGGCAUUUGGAGUAAUUGAAGACUAUGCCAUACACCUAAUGCUUUAUCACUCCUCAUUUGCACUAAACUCUUUGGCUUUGACUUGCUCUACAGAAUCCGAAUUCCUUAAAUAUCAAUUACAUUUUUAAGGAAUCUUAUAGUUUUGAUAUAUACAGGUACCAACUACCAUUUCUUUUUCUAUAUUUGAACUUACUCAAAAAUUUCAUAUGCUUCCCUGUUAAUUAGUGUAGUUAAUUAUUAUCAUGUGUUGUUUUUUCUUAGUCUGGAAUUCCUUUUUUUUUUAACCUUUAUUGUACUGAUAUGUUGUGGUACUUCAUAGCACUGCUGAUUUGAGUAGUUAUUGGAAAUAAUGAAAUUCCCAAUAGAUCGAAGUGAAAUACCUUUGAUUUAAGGUUGGAAGUAGUUUCUAUCCAUCCAACUAUAGUUGGGUGCUAUAUCUAUUUUUUGAGUGAAAUACUGCCUGUCUAUUUUUCUGGUGUGUUGGAUGGAGUGAAAUAUUGCCUGUCUAUCUAGAAUUUUUGAUGUAGUGUCAUGUAAUUUGUGCCUCAGAUUUUGUAAACGGCCUGCAAAAUUUGCUUGAAGAAGAUGAUUUAGUGGUAAUCUUCUUCAUAGGUUUCUUCAUUUCGUUCUUCGUUUAGUUUGGAUUAAUUAGAUAAAUUAGAUUUGUACUCGAUUGGUAUAUUUUCGUAAUGUUAUCGAAGUGAAAUACCUUCAAAGGGAAUUCCACAAAAGCAUGGGUUGUUUCUUCCACACCGUACAGAGGAAAAUCAGCAAAAAGAUUAGUAGAGCGUGUAGCGAAGGCAUAAAAAUACAAGAUUAGAAGAAUUGCGGCAGAUAACAUUUCUACUAUCUGCCUCUUCUUUGAUCACUCUUCUGCACAUCCCUCUUCUUAGAUGAUCAAUUCCACUUAAUUUAUCUAGACUGCCAGAGUAAGGCAUGUGAGAGACCUCAAGUUCUAAAACCGUGGCGGAAAUGUAUAGAUGACACUAUGAGUAGAAUCAAUAAAUCAGCUGAUCUGUAACCUGGAAGAGCAUGGAGUCACCCAACAACUCAUUGUGGUUCCUUUUGCCUGGACACAUGUCAAAAUAUACAAAGGUAUAACAUAUGUUGCCUACUCAACCAACAAGGCUGGAAUAAAACUAACAAGGCUUACCGAGGAGAAAUAAAAUUGGUGUCGGACGAUGAGGAUUGAACGGUGCAUCUAUAGUGUAACUUGAGUGGUGAUAUGUAACAUGUUGACUAAAAUAUUUACUAUUCCAUGUUGAUGUUUUUUUGUUGGCUUUGCUUUCUGUAUUGAGAAAAUUGGGAAUAUGUCCCAAAAUUGACUGUCAU